rnacentral:rRNA from 1 species
AACAAACGCUGGCGGCGUGCCUAAUACAUGCAAGUCGAACGGGGAAAGCUUUCGGGUGAGUACUAGUGCGCACGGGUGAGUAACGCGUGGAUAAUCUGCCUUAGAGUGGGGGAUAACUAGUCGAAAGAUUAGCUAAUACCGCAUAAGACCACAAGAACUGCGGUUCAAGGGGUCAAAGGUUUUUCGCUCUAAGAUGAGUCCGCGUAAGAUUAGCUAGUUGGUAGGGUAACGGCCUACCAAGGCGACGAUCUUUAACUGGUCUGAGAGGAUGAUCAGUCACACUGAAACUGAGACACGGUCCAGACUCCUACGGGAGGCAGCAGUAGGGAAUAUUGCACAAUGGAGGAAACUCUGAUGCAGCGACGCCGCGUGAGUGAUGAAGGCCUUCGGGUCGUAAAGCUCUGUCGCAGGGGAAUAACACAAUGAAGGUACCCUGUAAGAAAGGAUCGGCUAACUUCGUGCCAGCCGCCGCAGUAACAC